rnacentral:tRNA from 1 species
GGCGGGCUGGCGGGGCUCGGUGUGCAGCAGCGCGCUCUGCAGCACCGCGGCGAGGGUCAGUUCGAGGUUCUCGCGGGCCA